rnacentral:rRNA from 1 species
CCUACGGGAGGCAGCAGUAGGGAAUUUUCGGCAAUGGGGGGAACCCUGACCGAGCACCGCCGCGUGAACGAAGACGUUAUUCGUAAUGUAACGUUCUUUUAACAGGGCAGAAAGAGAAAUUUGACGGUACCUGAAGAAUAAGCUCCGGCUAACUACGUGCCAGCAGCCGCGGUAAUACGUAGGGAGCGAGCGUUAUCCGGAAUUAUUGGGCGAAAAGGGUGCGUAGAUGGCAUAGUAAGUCUUUUGUAAAAAUGCUGGGCUCAACCCAGUAGGGCAAAAGAUACUGCAAAGCUAGAGUAUGACAGAGGCAAGUGGAACUACAUGUGUAGCGGUAAAAUGCGUAAAGAUAUGUAAGAACACCAGUGGCGAAGGCGGCUUGCUGGGUCGAUACUGACAUUGAGGCACGAAAGCGUGGGGAGCAAACAGGAUUAGAUACCCGAGUAGUC